rnacentral:rRNA from 1 species
AAUACAUGCAAGUUGAGCGCUGAAGGUUGGUACUUGUACCGACUGGAUGAGCAGCGAACGGGUGAGUAACGCGUGGGGAAUCUGCCUUUGAGCGGGGGACAACAUUUGGAAACGAAUGCUAAUACCGCAUAAAAACUUUAAACACAAGUUUUAAGUUUGAAAGAUGCAAUUGCAUCACUCAAAGAUGAUCCCGCGUUGUAUUAGCUAGUUGGUGAGGUAAAGGCUCACCAAGGCGAUGAUACAUAGCCGACCUGAGAGGGUGAUCGGCCACAUUGGGACUGAGACACGGCCCAAACUCCUACGGGAGGCAGCAGUAGGGAAUCUUCGGCAAUGGACGAAAGUCUGACCGAGCAACGCCGCGUGAGUGAAGAAGGUUUUCGGAUCGUAAAACUCUGUUGGUAGAGAAGAACGUUGGUGAGAGUGGAAAGCUCAUCAAGUGACGGUAACUACCCAGAAAGGGACGGCUAACUACGUGCCAGCAGCCGCGGUAAUACGUAGGUCCCGAGCGUUGUCCGGAUUUAUUUGGGCGUAAAGCGAGCGCAGGUGGUUUAUUAAGUCUGGUGUAAAAAGGCAUUGGCUCAACCAUUUGUAUGCAUUGGAAACUGGUAGACUUGAGUGCAGGAGAGGAGAGUGGAAUUCCAUGUGGAGCGGUGAAAUGCGUAGAUUUAUGGAGGAACACCGGGUGGCGAAAGCGGCUCUCUGGCCUGUAACUGACACUGAGGCUCGAAAGCGUGGGGAGCAAACAGGAUUAGGAUACCCUGGUAGUCCACGCCGUAAACGAUGAGUGCUAGAUGUAGGGAGCUAUAAGUUCUCUGUAUCGCAGCUAACGCAAUAAGCACUCCGCCUGGGGAGUACGACCGCAAGGUUGAAACUCAAAGGAAUUGACGGGGGCCCGCACAAGCGGUGGAGCAUGUGGUUUAAUUCGAAGCAACGCGAAGAACCUUACCAGGUCUUGACAUACUCGUGCUAUUCCUAGAGAUAGGAAGUUCCUUCGGGACACGGGAUACAGGUGGUGCAUGGUUGUCGUCAGCUCGUGUCGUGAGAUGUUGGGUUAAGUCCCGCAACGAGCGCAACCCCUAUUGUUAGUUGCCAUCAUUAAGUUGGGCACUCUAACGAGACUGCCGGUGAUAAACCGGAGGAAGGUGGGGAUGACGUCAAAUCAUCAUGCCCCUUAUGACCUGGGCUACACACGUGCUACAAUGGAUGGUACAACGAGUCGCGAGACAGUGAUGUUUAGCUAAUCUCUUAAAACCAUUCUCAGUUCGGAUUGUAGGCUGCAACUCGCCUACAUGAAGUCGGAAUCGCUAGUAAUCGCGGAUCAGCACGCCGCGGUGAAUACGUUCCCGGGCCUUGUACACACCGCCCGUCACACCACGGGAGUUGGGAGUACCCGAAGUAGGUUGCCUAACCGCAAGGAGGGCGCUUCCUAAGGUAAGACCGA